rnacentral:rRNA from 1 species
GACGAACGCUGGCGGCGUGCUUAACACAUGCAAGUCGAACGAAGAGCGAUGGAAGCUUGCUUCUAUCAAUCUUAGUGGCGCACGGGUGAGUAACGCGUAAUCAACCUGCCCUUCAGAGGGGGACAACAGUUGGAAACGACUGCUAAUACCGCAUACGAUCUAAUCUCGGCAUCGAGGAUAGAUGAAAGGUGGCCUCUACAUGUAAGCUAUCACUGAAGGAGGGGAUUGCGUCUGAUUAGCUAGUUGGAGGGGUAACGGCCCACCAAGGCGAUGAUCAGUAGCCGGUCUGAGAGGAUGAACGGCCACAUUGGGACUGAGACACGGCCCAGACUCCUACGGGAGGCAGCAGUGGGGAAGCUUCCGCAAUGGACGAAAGGCUGACGGAGCAACGCCGCGUGAGCGAUGACGGCCUUCGGGUUGUAAAGCUCGGUUAAUCGGGACGAAAGGCCUCCUUGCGAAUAGUGAGAAGGAUUGACGGUACCGGAAUAGAAAGCCACGGCUAACUACGUG